rnacentral:tRNA from 1 species
GCCGACGUAGCUCAGUUGGUAGAGCAACGCAUUCGUAAUGCGUAGGUCACCGGUUCGAAUCCGGUCGUCGGCUCCA